CAGGAUGGCCCCGCGUCUGAUUAGCUUGUUGGCGGGGUAACGGCCCACCAAGGCAACGAUCAGUAGCCGGCUUGAGAGAGCGGACGGCCACAUUGGGACUGAGACACGGCCCAGACUCCUGCGGGAGGCAGCAGUGGGGAAUAUUGCACAAUGGGGGGAACCCUGAUGCAGCAAUGCCGCGUGGGUGAAGAAGUACCCCGGUAUGUAAAGCCCUGUCAGCAGGGAAGAAAAUGACGGUACCUGACUAAGAAGCCCCGGCUAACUACGUGCCAGCAGCCGCGGUAAUACGUAGGGGGCGAGCGUUAUCCGGAUUUACUGGGUGUAAAGGGAGCGCAGGCGGCGUGGCAAGUCAGAUGUGAAAACCCGGGGCCCAACCCCGGGACUGCAUUUGAAACUGCCAUGCUGGAGUGCCGGAGAGGCAAGUGGAAUUCCUAGUGUAGCGGUGAAAUGCGUAGAUAUUAGGAGGAACACCAGUGGCGGAGGCGGCUUGCUGGACGGUAACUGACGCUGAGGCUCGAAAGCGUGGGGAGCAAACAGGAUUAGAUACCCUGGUAGUCCACGCCGUA
rnacentral:rRNA from 1 species